rnacentral:rRNA from 1 species
UGGCUCAGAACGAACGCUGGCGGCGUGCUUUACACAUGCAAGUCGAGCGAGGCGGCCCGCAAGGGUCAGUCGAGCGGCGAACGGGUGAGUAACGCGUGGAUGACCUGCCCUUUAGUGGGGAACAACCAGGGGAAACUCUGGCUAAUACCGCAUAAGACCGAGAGGUGAAAGGGGGCUCGCAAGGGCUCUCGCUGAAGGAGGGGUCCGCGUCCGAUUAGCUAGUUGGUAGGGUAAUGGCCUACCAGGAAAACGAUCGGUAGCCGGCCUGAGAGGGUGAUCGGCCACAUCGUCCCUGAGACACGGACCAGACUCUAUCGGAUCGUAGCAGUGG